rnacentral:rRNA from 1 species
GACGAAUGUCUGAUGGAGCAACGCCGCGUGAGCGAUGAAGGCCUUCGGGUCGUAAAGCUCUGUUGUUAGGGAAGAAUAAGUAUCGGAGUAACUGCCGGUACCUUGACGGUACCUAACCAGAAAGCCACGGCUAACUACGUGCCAGCAGCCGCGGUAAUACGUAGGUGGCAAGCGUUGUCCGGAAUUAUUGGGCGUAAAGCGCGCGCAGGCGGUCCUUUAAGUCUGAUGUGAAAGCCCACGGCUCAACCGUGGAGGGUCAUUGGAAACUGGGGGACUUGAGUGCAGAAGAGGAAAGCGGAAUUCCACGUGUAGCGGUGAAAUGCGUAGAGAUGUGGAGGAACACCAGUGGCGAAGGCGGCUUUCUGGUCUGUAACUGACGCUGAGGCGCGAAAGCGUGGGGAGCAAACAGGAUUAGAUACCCUGGUAGUCCACGCCGUAAACGAUGAGUGCUAAGUGUUAGGGGGUUUCCGCCCCUUAGUGCUGCAGCUAACGCAUUAAGCACUCCGCCUGGGGAGUACG